CAUCUAGGCGGUCAAUCAAGUCGAAGGUGAAAACUUGUGGCUCAACCAUAAGCUUGCCUACGAAACUGAUUAACUAGAGUACUGGAGAGGUGGACGGAACUACACGAGUAGAGGUGAAAUUCGUAGAUAUGUGUGGGAAUGCCGAUGAUGAAGAUAGUUCACUGGACAGAAACUGACGCUGAAGUGCGAAAGCUAGGGGAGCAAACA
rnacentral:rRNA from 1 species